UACGAAGGGGGCUAGCGUUGCUCGGAAUCACUGGGCGUAAAGCGCACGUAGGCGGAUUGUUAAGUCAGGGGUGAAAUCCUGGAGCUCAACUCCAGAACUGCCUUUGAUACUGGCGAUCUUGAGUCCGGGAGAGGUGAGUGGAACUGCGAGUGUAGAGGUGAGAUUCGUAGAUAUUCGCAAGAACACCAGUGGCGAAGGCGGCUCACUGGUCCGGUACUGACGCUGAGGUGCGAAAGCGUGGGGAGCAAACAGG
rnacentral:rRNA from 1 species